GACGAACGCUGGCGGCGUGCUUAACACAUGCAAGUCGAACGGAAAGGCCCUGCUUUUGUGGGGUGCUCGAGUGGCGAACGGGUGAGUAACACGUGAGUAACCUGCCCUUGACUUUGGGAUAACUUCAGGAAACUGGGGCUACUACCGGAUAGGAGCUCCUGCUGCAUGGUGGGGGUUGGAAAGUUUCGGCGGUUGGGGAUGGACUCGCGGCUUAUCAGCUUGUUGGUGGGGUAGUGGCUUACCAAGGCUUUGACGGGUAGCCGGCCUGGGAGGGUGACCGGCCACAUUGGGACUGAGAUACGGCCCAGACUCCUACGGGAGGCAGCAGGGGGGAAUAUGGCACAAUGGGCGGAAGCCUGAGGCAGCAACGCCGCGUGCGGGAUGACGGCCUUCGGGUGGUAAACCGCUUUCGCCUGUGACGAAGCGUGAGUGACGGUAAUGGGUAAAGAAGCACCGGCUAACUACGUG
rnacentral:rRNA from 1 species